AUGUGCGCAGAUAUGGAGGAUCUGCAGAAGGCUAUGACCAAGAUCAAGGAGCUAGAAGAAGAACUCAAGGCUACACGUAAAGACUAUAUGGAAGAAAUCGUCGCUCUAGUAAGACAGAACGGCGACCUUAAGGAGAAGAUUGGAGUAUUCAUGGGAGGAUCAGCACCCAGAGGAGAAGAGGAUGAACCUACUUGCCCAGAUAAUUAUAUCAUCAUCGACAACACCGACUCGGAUCCCGACGACAAUGAUGAUGACUAUGUUGAUGAAGCUGGAGCAGAUAUCAUGGAAUCUGCAUCGGAGCAGUUUUUCUAG
rnacentral:rRNA from 1 species